rnacentral:lncRNA from 1 species
UUUUCGAUAAGCACCAACAUAAUGGGUGGCUAGCCAUGCACCACGGUGUGGGGUCCUAGUGUGGGUGAGUGUGACAAGGCAAGAUGUUUCCCGUGCAAUCGUCUUGUGCCGAACAAAAGAAGGUGAGGCGGGGUGCUAACUUGGCGUCAAAGUGGAGAAAAUGAGAAAAGGUAGUGUUGGCGUGACAAGGGAUUUAUGGUCCGACUUGGGCUAGCUCGGGCUGGUUUAGGGAGAUUUGUUUAGGUAGGUUGUUUAGUUAGCAGGCCGGAUAUGUUGGGUUCCGGCCCAAGUUAUUUUAAACUAGAUUUGGGGUUUAACCAAUUCUAAUUUGAAUUAAAUUCAAGCUUGAAAGGCACUCAAAAAAUGCAAACAAAUUCAAUUAAAAUCUAAUUCAAGCAUGCAACCUAUGGACACAUAUUUAAUGGGCACUUUAGUUUACUAGGAAUUUUAUAAAGGAGAACUACUUUUUAAGAGGCAAAAGAGUUCAUGAACCAUAACAAACACGAAAAAUUUUGACGAUCCAAAUUUUUGCACAUAUAACAUAUACCACAAAAUCGUGGGAUGUUAC